CUGCCGCAGCUCCAGUCGCUGCCGCUCGAUCAUCUCCGACUCCGACUCCAGUGCGUCGAACACCGCGGCGCCCACCAGCAGAACUUCUGCAGUCUCACCCUCGAAGCAGGCACCCAGGAGGGACUCAGCCAUCACGGAGACCGCAGGCAGGCCAACGGCAACUGCUCACCACUUUCCAAGAGAGUGGCUGUGAAGAGGAUCCCACUUUGUUCCCAUCUGCUUCUACUGGUGACAGACAAGAAGGCCAGCCUGGGAGGCGGGUAGAACCUCAAGUGCAGCUCGAGAGACCUUGACUGCUGCCCGGAGGCUGGGGGACACAGAGAAAGGAGCGUGCAGGGUGCCUGGCUGUAGUGUCACACAGUGAGAUCAUGGCCUUCUUGGCUCUGCCUCGUCCUCAGAAUGAUCUCAUGCCAGUCACCUUACCCCUUUAAGGCUCCUUUAAGGCUGUUCUCUGCCAUUCAUAUCCUUUGCCGUUCUGCCAAAUGUACGGGUCUAGUUCUUGUCUUUAAACCAGAAACAGAAAUAGGCAUAUGCUGGUGCUCCUGACAGCGGAGGGAUGGGGCCACCCGGCCCUGCAACGGCGGCCACGGACGACUACUGAAGCGACCGUCAGAGUUCUCAGUGAAGCAAGAUUCAAUCCGUGAUCAGUCUGGCUCCAGCCUGUGCUUCUCCCUCUCCACCCGCCACGCUCCCUCACUAGAAAAUACUGAGGGCAGAGCCAGGCAACAACAGGGGAAUCAGAACAGAAGGUGCUGUUAACGCUGGGCUGGCACACAGCUAGAGCUCAGAAAAAUGCAGUCACAUGAAUGAAUGAGGAGCUCUGAACGGAAGGAGCUGGGCAGGUCCAAGAAUCAGUACCAGCAUUCCCCAUGACUGGACAGAUGCUCAGCUUCAGGUGGGAAGCGGGUCCCAGAUGUGAGCAAGGCCUGGUGACUCUAGCUCACACAGGGGCUCAGAGACAAAACCAUCAGGGAACAGCUCUGGACCCUGGUGGAGAUGAGGAAGGGAGGCAGAGCUAUCUUGGCACAGAGUUCGGGCACCCAGCCCAGGCAGGGACUCAGAAGGUCUCCGUGUCUGUGCAGAGCCAAAGGAUAUUGUUGGGGCUUUGAGCUGGUGCCCGAAGACGAACGGCAUAUCGGGGGCCUCAGAGACUGAAGGGGAUGGGGCCGUCCUACACAUAUAGACCAAGGU